UACGGGGGGGGCAAGCGUUGUUCGGAAUUACUGGGCGUAAAGGGCUCGUAGGUGGCCGACUAAGUCGGACGUGAAAUCCCUCGGCUUAACCGGGGAACUGCGUCCGAUACUGGAUGGCUUGAGUUCGGGAGAGGGAUGCGGAAUUCCAGGUGUAGCGGUGAAAUGCGUAGAUAUCUGGAGGAACACCGGUGGCGAAGGCGGCAUCCUGGACCGACACUGACACUGAGGAGCGAAAGCCAGGGGAGCAAACGGG
rnacentral:rRNA from 1 species